rnacentral:rRNA from 1 species
AUGAACGCUAGCGGCAGGCUUAAUACAUGCAAGUCGUGGGGCAGCGCAGAGUAGCAAUACUGGGCGGCGACCGGCAAACGGGUGCGGAACACGUACACAACCUUCCUUUAAGUGGGGAAUAGCCCAAAGAAAUUUGGAUUAAUACCCCGUAACAUUAUCAAAUGGCAUCAUUUAAUAAUUAUAGCCUCGGCGCUUAAUGAUGGGUGUGCGGCUGAUUAGAUAGUUGGUGAGGUAACGGCUCACCAAGUCUACGAUCAGUAGCUGAUGUGAGAGCAUGAUCAGCCACACGGGCACUGAGACACGGGCCCGACUCCUACGGGGGGCAGCAGUAAGGAAUAUUGGGCAAUGGACGCAAGUCUGACCCAGCCAUGCCGCGUGAAGGAUGAAGGUCCUCUGGAUUGUAAACUUCUUUUAUUUGGGAAGAAAUCCAUGUAUUCUUAUGUGGUUGACGGUACCAGAUGAAUAAGCACCGGCUAACUCCGUG